rnacentral:lncRNA from 1 species
UUGACCAAGUAAAGUGUUCAUUGAGGGCAAUUCCAACCCCAGCAUUGAAGGUGGAAGAGUGGAUGUCACUGUUAAAGUCUCAGGAGAAAACUUGGUCCUCAGUGUAGCUCAGAAUGCCCUUGAGGUGGCCUUCUGAUGCCUGCUUCACUGUCUUGAUGUCAUCAUAUUUG